GAUGAACGCUGGCGGCGUGCCUAAUACAUGCAAGUCGAGCGAACAGACGAGGAGCUUGCUCCUCUGACGUUAGCGGCGGACGGGCGAGUAACACGUGGAUAACCUACCUAUAAGACUGGGAUAACUUCGGGAAACCGGAGCUAAUACCGGAUAAUAUAUUGAACCGCAUGGUUCAAUAGUGAGAGACGGUUUUGCUGUCACUUAUAGAUGGAUCCGCGCCGCAUUAGCUAGUUGGUAAGGUAACGGCUUACCAAGGCAACGAUGCGUAGCCGACCUGAGAGGGUGAUCGGCCACACUGGAACUGAGACACGGUCCAGACUCCUACGGGAGGCAGCAGUAGGGAAUCUUCCGCAAUGGGCGAAAGCCUGACGGAGCAACGCCGCGUGAGUGAUGAAGGUCUUCGGAUCGUAAAACUCUGUUAUUAGGGAAGAACAAAUGUGUAAGUAACUAUGCACGUCUUGACGGUACCUAAUCAGAAAGCCACGGCUAACUACGUG
rnacentral:rRNA from 1 species